GCUGGGCGUGGUGGCGUGUGCCUGUAGUCCCAUCUACUUGGGAGGCUGAGGUGGGAGGAUGGCUUGAGCCAAGGAGGUGGAGGUUGCAGUGAGUCAUGAUCGUGCUGCCACUGCACUUUAGCCUGGGCAACAGAGCCAGACCCUAUCUCAG
ensembl:misc_RNA Metazoa_SRP Metazoan signal recognition particle RNA